rnacentral:rRNA from 1 species
GACGAACGCUGGCGGCGUGCUUAACACAUGCAAGUCGAGCGGUAAGGCCCUUUCGGGGGUACACGAGCGGCGAACGGGUGAGUAACACGUGGGUGACCUGCCCUUAGCUCUGGGAUAAGCCUGGGAAACUGGGUCUAAUACCGGAUAUGACUCCAUGACGCAUGUUGUGGGGUGGAAAGCCUUGUGCGGCUAGGGAUGGGCCCGCGGCCUAUCAGCUUGUUGGUGGGGUGAUGGCCUACCAAGGCGACGACGGGUAGCCGGCCCUGAGAGGGCGACCGGCCACACUGGGACUGAGACACGGCCCAGACUCCCACGGGA